rnacentral:rRNA from 1 species
GUGUCAGCAGCCGCGGUAAGACGAACCUGACAAACGUUAUUCGGAAUCACUGGGCUUAAAGGGUGCGUAGGCUGUGCAGAAAGUUGGGUGUGAAAUCCCUCGGCUUAACCGAGGAACUGCGCCCAAAACUACUGUGCUUGAGUGAGAUAGAGGUGAGCGGAACUUAGGGUGGAGCGGUGAAAUGCGUUGAUAUCCUAAGGAACACCGGUGGCGAAAGCGGCUCACUGGGUCUCAACUGACGCUGAUGCACGAAAGCUAGGGUAGCGAACGGGAUUAGAUACCCCGGUAGUCCUAGCCGUAAACGAUGAGCACUGGGUUGAAGGGUCCUCCAUAGCCCUUCAGCCGAAGCGAAAGUGUUAAGUGCUCCGCCUGGGGAGUAUGGUCGCAAGGCUGAA